UACAGAGGGGGCAAGCGUUGUUCGGAAUUACUGGGCGUAAAGGGCGCGUAGGCGGCCCGCUAAGUCGAACGUGAAAUCCCCGAGCUCAACUCGGGAACUGCGUCCGAUACUGGCGGGCUUGAAUCCGGGAGAGGGAUGCGGAAUUCCAGGUGUAGCGGUGAAAUGCGUAGAUAUCGAGAGGAACACCUGGCGGCGAAGGCGGGUUGCUGGGCUGAUACUGACGUGAGGCGCGAAAGCUAGGGGAGCGAACGGG
rnacentral:rRNA from 1 species